rnacentral:rRNA from 1 species
UACGAGUGCCCCCAAGCGUUUAUCCGGAAUCAUUGGGCGUAAAGGGUGUGUAGGUGGUUGUGUUAGUCUUCUGUAAGAUUCUUCGGCUCAACCGGGGACCUGCGGAGGAAACGGCACAACUAGAGGAUGCGAGGGGUGAAUGGAACUCAUGGAGUAGGGGUGAAAUCCGUUGAUAUCAUGGGGAACACCAAAAGCGAAGGCAAUUCACUGGCGCAUUCCUGACACUGAAACACGAAAGCGUGGGUAGCGAACUGG